CCUACGGGGGGCAGCAGUGGGGAAUAUUGCGCAAUGGGCGAAAGCCUGACGCAGCGACGCCGCGUGAGGGAUGAAGGUCUUCGGAUUGUAAACCUCUGUCUGCAGGGAAGAACGGUCACUGUGCUAAUCAGCAGUGACUUGACGGUACCUGCAAAGGAAGUCUCGGUUAACUCCGUGCCAGCCGCCGCGGUAAUACGGAGGGUGCGAGCGGUAAUCGGAAUUACUGGGCGUAAAGCGAUCGUAGGCGGUAUGUCAAGUCAAGGGUGAAAUCCCCGCGCUCAACGUGGGCACUGCCUUUGAAACUGGCAAACUGGAGUGUGUGAGAGGAUAGUGGAAGUCCAGGUGUAGGAGUGAAAUCCGUAGAUAUCUGGAAGAACAUC
rnacentral:rRNA from 1 species